rnacentral:rRNA from 1 species
UGAAUACGAGACGCUAAGGCGUCGAAGUAGUGUAUGUCAUACUUCCAAGAAAAGCUUGCACUGUCAUAGAUAAAAAACGCCUGUACCAUAACCGACACAGGUGGGUAGGUAGAGUAUACUAAGGGGCGCGAGAUAACUCUCUCUAAGGAACUCGGCAAAAUAACUCCGUAACUUCGGGAGAAGGAGUGCCUUAUUCGUAAGGUUGCAAUAACAAGAUCCAAGCAACUGUUUAUCAAAAACACAGGUCUCCGCUAAGUCGUAAGACGAUGUAUGGGGGCUGACGCCUGCCCAGUGCCAGAAGGUUAAAGAAGUUGGUUAGCAAUUGCGAAGCUGAUAACUGAAGCCCUGGUGAACGGCGGCCGUAACAAUAACGGUCCUAAGGUAGCGAAAUUCCUUGUCGGGUAAGUUCCGACCCGCACGAAAGGCGUAAUGAUUUGGAUACUGUCUCGGAGAGGGGCUCGGUGAAAUAGACUUGUCUGUGAAGAUGCGGACUACCUGCACCAGGACAGAAAGACCCUAUGAAGCUUUACUGUAACUUGAAAUUGAAAUUGGACUUUAUUCGCGCAGUAUAGGUGGGAGGCGUUGAUUAUAAUCUUGUGGGAUUAUUGGAGCCAUCAGUGAGAUACCACUCUUGUAGUGUUAGAUUCCUAACUUUGAAUCAUUAUCUGGUCAAAGAACAGUUUCAGGCGGGCAGUUUGACUGGGGCGGUCGCCUCCUAAACGGUAACGGAGGCGUACAAAGGUUUCCUCUGAACGGUUAGAAAUCGUAUCUAGAGUGUAAAGGCAUAAGGAAGCUUGACUGUGAGACCUACAAGUCGAGCAGGGACGAAAGUCGGUCUUAGUGAUCUGACGGUACUGAGUGGAAAGGCCGUCACUCAACGGAUAAAAGUUACUCUAGGAUAACAGGCUGAUCUCCCCCAAGAGUUCACAUCGACGGGGAGGUUUGGCACCUCGAUGUCGGCUCAUCGCAUCCUGGGGCGGUAGUACGUCCCAAGGGUUGGGCUGUUCGCCCAUGAAAGCGGUACGCGAGCUGGGUUCAGAACGUCGUGAGACAGUUCGGUCCAUAUCCGGUGUAGGCGUUAGAAUAUUGAGAGGAGCCUUCUUUAGUACGAGAGGACCGAGAAGGACAUACCUCUGGUGUACCAGUUAUCGUGCCAACGGUAAACGCUGGGUAGCUAUGUAUGGAGUGGAUAACCGCUGAAAGCAUCUAAGUGGGAAGCCCACCUCAAGAUAAGUAUUCGC